rnacentral:rRNA from 1 species
GUGCCAGCAGCCGCGGUAAUACGGAAGGUCCGGGCGUUAUCCGGAUUUAUUGGGUUUAAAGGGAGCGCAGCCGGAGUCAAGCGUGACGUGAAAUGUAACCGCUCAACGGCUGAGUUGCGUCGCGAACUGGCUUUCUUGAGUGAGUACGACGUCAGCGGAACUCGUGGUGUAGCGGUGAAAUGCUUAGAUAUCACGAAGAACCCCGAUUGCGAAGGCAGCUGACGAGUCCUUUACUGACGCUAAAGCUCGAAGGUGCGGGUAUCGAACAGGAUUAGAUACCCUGGUAGUCCGCACGGUAAACGAUGGAUGCCCGCUGUCGGCGACACACUGUCGGCGGCCAAACGAAACGCUUAACAUCCCACCUGGGGAGUACGCCGGCAACGGUGAAACUCAAAGGAAUUGACGGGGGCCCGCACAAGCGGAAGAACAUGUGGUUUAAUUCGAUUAUACGCGAAGAACCUUACCCGGGCUUGAACUGCCGGCGAACGAUUCAGAGAUGAUGAGGUCCUUCGGGACGCCGGUGGAGGUGCUGCAUGGUUGUCGUCAGCUCGUGCCGUGAGGUGUCGGCUUAAGUGCCAUAACGAGCGCAACCCCUUUCGCCAGUUGCCAUCAGGUGAUGCUGGGCACUCCGGCGACACUGCCACCGCAAGGUGUGAGGAAGGUGGGGAUGACGUCAAAUCAGCACGGCCCUUACGUCCGGGGCUACACACGUGUUACAAUGGGGGGUACAGAGAGUCGGUCGUAUGCAAAUGCGGUCUAAUCAUGAAAGCUCUCCUCAGUUCGGAUUGGGUCUGCAACCCGACCCAAUGAAGCUGGAUUCGUUAGUAAUCGCGCAUCAGCCAUGGCGCGGUGAAUACGUUCCCGGGCCUUGUACACACCGCCCGU